rnacentral:lncRNA from 1 species
AAACUUCCUCGUAGCCGGCUGCCGAAAAAUAAAUAAUAAUAAUAAUAAUAAUCUAGAAUUUCGAUCGACGAGAACGGUCUCCGACCCGGAGGAAUUGCGAAGGCCUAUCCGCCAUUCCCCGAAAAGCAGUUCAUUCAAAUGAGAUAAUUAAUCUUGCUGCUCGUAAUUACUAAACGAAAAAAAGAGGACAUAACAACGGUUGUCAGUUUUCUUUCGGGAAAUGUCCGCCCAUCCAUUCUUUCUACUUCCGUGGAAGUAAUUAGUAGAAACCGCAGACGGAAGGUUUUGUAAUUAAGGAGAGAGCCUGUUUCCGUAUCCGCGGAAACCAGGCGUCUUCCGUGCUGUAUUCCGCGGUCGGAGAGAAAAAUUUUAGCGGCGGUGCUGGCAGGUACGCGUUCGACCUUAACCGAAUAAUAAAAAGCCGCCCGGAGUAAAAGCUGCCAAAUUUUCCUAUUUUUAGUGCGGUAAUUCGAGUUCUACUCUCAAACGAGUAAUUUGCCACGCGCCGCUACUUAUCGGAGGGGGCUAAUGGUGCUUACCUACGUGGUGUUGCUGCUGAUGUUCCCGGGACUCGAUGGCGCUUUCCAAAUGACAGAUCAGUCUGUGCAGGUCGCUCCUGUUGCUCUUCAGCGCGACGUAAGUGACGAACGGAAACUGACCUGACAAUACACCAAACACAAAAAAAAAAAAAUGUUUAGAAAAUUAUCGAACGGAAUUAGUUCAUUUCCGAGUUACAAAUGAGCGAGAAUGCGCUACACGAGCGACUACUAAGAAUUUCGAGUGUGGUUAAUGACGUGAGCCCGACCUGAAAGAACCGCCACACAAACAAAAAAAAACCCCAAAAUGUACUUUUAGUACUUGCAGCGUCAUCAAGUAAAAGCGAAAUUUUUGCUCGUUAGUGAGUAAAAAAAAAAAAAAAAAAUUUAAAGGGCGAAUUUUUAAAUUAUGUAACAGCGUCGGAAGAAUGUCAGUUUCGGGGCCCUUUCGCGAACUAUUCGGGACAUAAUUUAAUCGAAAUUUCUAACGAAGGAGAAGUUACCACACGUACGAAAAGGGGCGGACAGCUGUGUGUUCCGACACACUGUAUCUUUAAUCGUUGAGGGAAAUUAACGAGUGGGUGUUUAGUGGGGAUUGGACUAGCGCCAGAUUAACACGGGGGGUGGUUUAGCGGCGGAAACGAAUUCCGACUGAAUAAUUAAGGUGGGAGUCAAAGGGGGCGGUGAUCGGCGCUAACACAAAUUGGAGAUUUACGGAAAAGCUGGAAAACGCUCCCGUUUCUAUCCACAGACCAUUUUACGUACAGGCAAAACGUCCAUAAUGUUGUUGGCCUACCAAAUAAUAAAAAAUUAUGUAAAAAAAAUGGACGACGUCAUCUUCCACAACUGGUCCAUAACCUUUCUAUUAGUGGAGGACUCAUUUCCUGAAACCAAGUCUGCUGGGGAUACUGGCUAACAAUAGAUUAAAUGAAUUUAAUUUUCUCGAUAAUUAUUCACCUGAAAUUGCGAUUUUAAUUUCAUUAUUUAAGCAGAUAAUUAUUUGUUAAAAAUCGAAAAAUAUCUAGCAAUAAAUUUAAUUAAAAUGCGUAUAGAAAACGAUUGAGAGAAACUAUCAAAUUUUGGUAAUGUACCACCUAUCGUUUCUACAUCUAAAAAAUUUUUUUUGACGGGCUAUCGUAUCUUCUCCCAUUAUGUGUCGUUUUUUGGAGUGGGGAAGAGAACGACUGUCGUAACUUUUCUACCAUUAAUUAGAAACCGAUUUUGUUACCAUUAAUUCAAAUUUAACAUUUGAAUUAUGAACUGAGAAUGGCCACAAACGAUAAUGGUUUCGUGGAGUAGGAAUAUUGUAUUGCUUUCAUACUUGAGAAAAGUGACGUCGGAAGUCAUCGCCGCCACAAAAAUGAACCUUAUCAUCUUUAUAGUUGAGUGCAGAGAGAGAAUUCCGCCUUAUCCGUAAAGGUCUCGACAGGGAAAUUCUCAAUCCCUACUCCAGUUUCGGGCUCGUUAAACGGAUAGUUGAGGCGGAUGGAUGUGGUGCACGCAUAAAGAUCGGCAGACUAUGGCACCGAAGGAUUUACUAAGAAUCGCCCUUCGUGGUGAAUAAUCAUCCUAAAAGAAAUUUAAGAUCGUUGCGUCGGGUCAAUAAUUUCGGGAAAUUACAUGCGGGCGGUAGAUGUCGUCGCUAGGGAGGAGGAAACCAGAAACCGUCAGUUAUGUAUUUUACUGAUCGAACAACAGUCAGAUUUUAAAGCGAUUAACUAGGAAAAUCCACACCCAUAUUUGAAUGAAAGUAAGCAACGACAAGGGCGUAGCCUUCGCCCAAACAUCGAUCGGGGAAGAUCCGCCAUUAAGCCAGGCGAAGUCCCGGUCAACCGGCGGGAAGGAACCGCCUUCCGUGGGGCGCGGUCGACGUGUCGGUUAUAGAAAAUAUCCGCACCACCCCGCGUCCGAGUCGACGACUGAACGUUAUUAUCCGGAAACAAUAAAAGAUGACUCACUGGUUCUCUCCACGUCCAUCAAGAGUAGGCCCUGGCUGUCCGGACUGCACUCCCGAAACAAUUGAAAGGCCUGGCGAGUCAGCUGCGAGGUGGCCGU